rnacentral:rRNA from 1 species
UAGGGAAUCUUCCGCAAUGGACGCAAGUCUGACGGAGCAACGCCGCGUGAGUGAAGAAGGAUUUCGGUUCGUAAAACUCUGUUGUUAGAGAAGAACAGCGCAUAGAGUAACUGUUAUGCGUGUGACGGUAUCUAACCAGAAAGCCACGGCUAACUACGUGCCAGCAGCCGCGGUAAUACGUAGGUCCCGAGCGUUGUCCGGAUUUAUUGGGCGUAAAGCGAGCGCAGGCGGUUAGAUAAGUCUGAAGUUAAAGGCAGUGGCUCAACCAUUGUAGGCUUUGGAAACUGUUUAACUUGAGUGCAGAAGGGGAGAGUGGAAUUCCAUGUGUAACGGUGAAAUGCGUAGAUAUAUGGAGGAACACCGGUGGCGAAAGCGGCUCUCUGGUCUGUAACUGACGCUGAGGCUCGAAAGCGUGGGGAGCGAACAGG